rnacentral:rRNA from 1 species
UACAGAGGGUGCGAGCGUUGUUCGGAAUUAUUGGGCGUAAAGGGCUCGUAGGCGGUUUGUCGCGUCGGGAGUGAAAACACCGGGCUUAACUCGGUGCUUGCUUUCGAUACGGGCAGACUAGAGGUAUUCAGGGGAGAACGGAAUUCCUGGUGUAGCGGUGAAAUGCGCAGAUAUCAGGAGGAACACCGGUGGCGAAGGCGGUUCUCUGGGAAUAUCCUGACGCUGAGGAGCGAAAGUGUGGGGAGCGAACAGG